GGGGAAUUAGCUCUAAUGGCAGAGCGCUCGCUUAGCAUGCGAGAGGUAGUGGGAUCGACGCCCACAUUCUCCA
rfam:Tetraodon nigroviridis, WGS project CAAE01000000 data, contig: CNS0BRJ3, chromosome: undetermined